rnacentral:rRNA from 1 species
GGCGAACGCUGGCGGCAGGCUUAACACAUGCAAGUCGAGCGGGCACUUCGGUGUCAGCGGCAGACGGGUGAGUAACACGUGGGAACGUACCCUUCGGUUCGGAAUAACGCUGGGAAACUAGCGCUAAUACCGGAUACGCCCUUUUGGGGAAAGGUUUACUGCCGAAGGAUCGGCCCGCGUCUGGUUAGCUAGUUGGUGGGGUAAUGGCCUACCAAGGCGACGAUCAGUAGCUGGUCUGAGAGGAUGAUCAGCCACACUGGGACUGAGACACGGCCCAGACUCCUACGGGAGGCAGCAGUGGGUAAUAUUGGACAAUGGGCGCAAGCCUGAUCCAGCCAUGCCGCGUGAGUGAUGAAGGCCUUAGGGUUGUAAAGCUCUUUUGUCCGGGACGAUAAUGACGGUACCGGAAGAAUAAGCCCCGGCUAACUUCGUG